rnacentral:rRNA from 1 species
GAUGAACGCUGGCGGCGUGCCUAAUACAUGCAAGUCGAGCGAACAGACGAGGAGCUUGCUCCUCUGACGUUAGCGGCGGACGGGUGAGUAACACGUGGAUAACCUACCUAUAAGACUGGGAUAACUUCGGGAAACCGGAGCUAAUACCGGAUAAUAUAUUGAACCGCAUGGUUCAAUAGUGAAAGACGGUUUUGCUGUCACUUAUAGAUGGAUCCGCGCCGCAUUAGCUAGUUGGUAAGGUAACGGCUUACCAAGGCAACGAUGCGUAGCCGACCUGAGAGGGGGACGGGCCAGAUGGGAACUGAACCAGGGACAGGACCCCAAGGGGGGGGACGGGUGGGAAUCUUUCGGAAAGGGGGGAGACACGAACGGGGAAGCGCGGGGGGAGUGAAGAAGUUGUCAGGAUCAAAAAAUUGUGUUAUGGGGAAAAAAAAAAUUUGAAAUAAAAUAGGCCCUCCUGGGGGGUACUAAAUAAGAAACCCAGGGAAAACUAGGUC